AUACGUAGGGGGCGAGCGUUGUCCGGAAUUAUUGGGCGUAAAGGGUUCGCAGGCGGCCAAAUAAGUCAGAUGUGAAAUCCCACGGCUUAACCGUGGUAAGCAUUUGAAACUGUAUGGCUUGAGUUAAGGUGAGGAAAGUGGAAUUCCUAUUGUAGCGGUGAAAUGCGUAGAUAUUAGGAAGAAUACCAGUGGCGAAGGCGACUUUCUGGACUUAUACUGACGCUGAGGAACGAAAGCGUGGGGAGCAAACAGGAUUAGAUACCCUGGUAGUCCACGCCGUAAACGAUGAGUGCUAGGUGUCGGGUGUCAAAGCUCGGUGCCGGAGCUAACGCAUUAAGCACUCCGCCUGGGGAGUACGUACGCAAGUAUGAAACUCAAAGGAAUUGACGGGG
rnacentral:rRNA from 1 species